rnacentral:rRNA from 1 species
GGACUACCGGGGUAUCUAAUCCCGUUCGCUCCCCUGGCUUUCGUGUCUCAGCGUCGGCACACCCCCAGCAGACUGUUUUCACCUUUGGCGUUCCAGGCGAUAUCUACGCAUUUCACCGCUCCACCGCCUGUUCCGUCUGCCCCUGAGUGGCCCAAGCCCGCCAGUAUGCCCGGCGGUUCCCCGGUUGAGCCGGGGGAUUUCACACGGACACUUAACGGGCCGCCUACACACGCUUUAAGCCCAGUGAUUCCGCCUAACGCUCGGCACCUCUGUCUUACCGCGGCUGCUGGCAC